rnacentral:rRNA from 1 species
UACGGAGGGGACUAGCGUUGUUCGGAAUUACUGGGCGUAAAGCGCACGUAGGCGGAUUUGUAAGUCAGGGGUGAAAUCCCGGGGCUCAACCUCGGAACUGCCUUUGAUACUGCAAAUCUCGAGUCCGGAAGAGGUGAGUGGAAUUCCUGGUGUAGCGGUGAAAUGCGCAGAUAUCAGGAAGAACACCCGUGGCGAAGGCGGCUCUCUGGGACGGUACUGACGCUGAGACGCGAAAGCGUGGGGAGCGAACAGG